CCAGACUCCUACGGGAGGCAGCAGUAGGGAAUCUUCGGCAAUGGACGAAAGUCUGACCGAGCAACGCCGCGUGAGUGAAGAAGGUUUUCGGAUCGUAAAACUCUGUUGGUAGAGAAGAACGUUGGUGAGAGUGGAAAGCUCAUCAAGUGACGGUAACUACCCAGAAAGGGACGGCUAACUACGUGCCAGCAGCCGCGGUAAUACGUAGGUCCCGAGCGUUGUCCGGAUUUAUUGGGCGUAAAGCGAGCGCAGGUGGUUUAUUAAGUCUGGUGUAAAAGGCAGUGGCUCAACCAUUGUAUGCAUUGGAAACUGGUAGACUUGAGUGCAGGAGAGGAGAGUGGAAUUCCAUGUGUAGCGGUGAAAUGCGUAGAUAUAUGGAGGAACACCGGUGGCGAAAGCGGCUCUCUGGCCUGUAACUGACACUGAGGCUCGAAAGCGUGGGGAGCAAACAGGAUUAGAUACCCUGGUAGUCCACGCCGUAAACGAUGAGUGCUAGAUGUAGGGAGCUAUAAGUUCUCUGUAUCGCAGCUAACGCAAUAAGCACUCCGCCUGGGGAGUACGACCGCAAGGUUGAAACUCAAAGGAAUUGACGGGG
rnacentral:rRNA from 1 species